CAUACCUCUUGGGGCUGGUGGAAUACCUUCAAGCUGGAACUCACCAAGAAGCUUGUUGUCUGUGGCCAUCUCCCUCUCACCCUGGAGCACCUUGAUUCCAACCUGGGUCUGGUUGUCUGCAGCAGUGGAGAAGACCUGACUCUUCUUGGUUGGAAUGGUUGUGUUCCGCCUUGUGAAGAUGCCUCCAAGAGUCUCAAUACCAAGGGAGAGGGGAGUGACAUCCAGCAAAAGGAGCUCCUUCACAUCACCCCUCAAGAUGCCACCCUGAAUGGCAGCUCCCAUGGCAACAGCCUCAUCAGGAUUGACACCCUUGCUUGGUGUCUUGUUGAAUAUCUGAGAAACAAUAUCCUGAACCUUUGGCACCCUCGUCAUACCACCAACCAGUAG
rnacentral:lncRNA from 1 species